AUUGAACGCUGGCGGCAGGCCUAACACAUGCAAGUCGAGCGGAGCGCCGGCCGCGUGCGUAAUGCCUAGGAAUCUGCCUGGUAGUGGUGGAUAACGUCCAGAACCGGGCGCUAAUGCCGCAUCCUCACCGCUGAGGCUAGGCCGGAUUGGGUAGUUGGUGUGGUAAAGGUCAACCAAGGCGACGCUCCGUAACUGGUCUGAGAGGAUGAUCAGUCACACUGGAACUGAGACACGGCCCAGACUCCUACGGGAGGCAGCAGUGGGGAAUAUUGGACAAUGGGCGAAAGCCUGAUGCAGCCAUGCCGCGUGAGUGAAGAAGGUCUUCGGAUUGUAAAGCACUUUAAGUUGGGAGGCGUUAACAACAGAAUAAGCACCGGCUAACUUCGUGCCAGCAGCCGCGGUAAUUC
rnacentral:rRNA from 1 species